rnacentral:rRNA from 1 species
GGGUGAGUAACGCGUAAGGAACUUGCCUCUUGGACUGGGACAACUGUUGGAAACGACAGCUAAUACCGGAUAUUAUGAGAUUCUCGCAUGAGAAACUUAUGAAAGCUAUAUGCGCCAAGAGAGAGCCUUGCGUUCCAUUAGCUAGUUGGUGGGGUAACGGCCCACCAAGGCGACGAUGGAUAGCCGGCCUGAGAGGGUGAACGGCCACAAGGGGACUGAGACACGGCCCUUACUCCUACGGGAGGCAGCAGUGGGGAAUAUUGGACAAUGGGCCACAAGCCUGAUCCAGCAAUUCUGUGUGCACGAUGAAGGUCUUCGGAUUGUAAAGUGCUUUCAGUUGGGAAGAAGAAAGUGACGGUACCAACAGAAGAAGCGACGGCUAAAUACGUGCCAGCAGCCGCGGUAAUACGUAUGUCGCAAGCGUUAUCCGGAUUUAUUGGGCGUAAAGCGCGUCUAGGCGGAAAAAUAAGUCUGAUGUUAAAAUGCGGGGCUCAACUCCGUAUUGCGUUGGAAACUGUUUUUCUAGAGUACUGGAGAGGUGGGCGGAACUACAAGUGUAGAGGUGAAAUUCGUAGAUAUUUGUAGGAAUGCCGAUGGAGAAGUCAGCUCACUGGACAGAUACUGACGCUGAAGCGCGAAAGCGUGGGGAGCAAACA